UACGGAGGGAGCUAGCGUUGUUCGGAAUUACUGGGCGUAAAGCGCGCGCAGGUGGUCUUUCAAGUCAGUGGUGAAAGCCCGGAGCUCAACUCCGGAAAUGCCAUUGAAACUGUGAGACUUGAGGAUGAGAGAGGUGAGUGGAAUUCCCAGUGUAGAGGUGAAAUUCGUAGAUAUUGGGAAGAACACCGGUGGCGAAGGCGGCUCACUGGCUCAUAUCUGACGCUCAGGCGCGACAGCGUGGGGAUCAAACAGG
rnacentral:rRNA from 1 species